AACGAACGCUGGCGGCAUGCCUAACACAUGCAAGUCGAACGAGACCUUCGGGUCUAGUGGCGCACGGGUGCGUAACGCGUGGGAACCUGCCCUUAGGUUCGGAAUAACUCCCCGAAAGGGGUGCUAAUACCGGAUAAUGUCUUCGGACCAAAGAUUUAUCGCCUUUGGAUGGGCCCGUGUUGGAUUAGCUAGUUGGUAGGGUAAAAGCCUACCAAGGCGACGAUCCAUAGCUGGUCUGAGAGGAUGAUCAGCCACACUGGGACUGAGACACGGCCCAGACUCCUACGGGAGGCAGCAGUGGAGAAUAUUGGACGAUGGGCGAAAGCCUGAUCCAGCAAUGCCGCGUGAGUGAUGAAGGCCUUAGGGUUGUAAAGCUCUUUUACCCGGGAUGAUAAUGACAGUACCGGGAGAAUAAGCUCCGGCUAACUCCGUG
rnacentral:rRNA from 1 species